rnacentral:rRNA from 1 species
ACUCUAAGCGGUGGAUCACUCGGCUCAUGGGUCGAUGAAGAACGCAGCAAACUGUGCGUCAUCGUGUGAACUGCAGGACACAUGAACAUCGACAUUUUGAACGCAUAUCGCAGUCCAUGCUGUUAUGUACUUUAAUUAAUUUUAUAGUGCUGCUUGGACUACAUAUGGUUGAGGGUUGUAAGACUAUGCUAAUUAAGUUGCUUAUAAAUUUUUAUAAGCAUAUGGUAUAUUAUUGGAUAAAUAUAAUAAUUUUUAUUCAUAAUAUUAAAAAAUAAAUGAAAAACAUUAUCUCACAUUUGAAUGUGAAAAACGAAGAGAAAUAUUUUCUUUUUCAAUCAAAUAAUACUGAGAAAUGUCUAGCAUAAAAAAUUGAAAUAUUUUUCAUCUAGAAUUGUCUCUUAUUAAUGAUUCGGAAAUAGAAAAAUCUUGGUUAUGUUAUUAUUCUUCGUUGGUUCGUUAAAAAUGGAUAAAUAAAAACUUUGCAUACAAGAAUUAAUAAAAAUGUUAUAACGAAUUUAAUUAAAUGUUUUAUCAUUAUAUAUAAAGAAUUUAUGGCAAGAUAAAGUUAUAUACAACCUCAACUCAUAUGGGACUACCCCCUGAAUUUAAGCAUAUUAAUUAGGGGAGGAAAAGAAACUAACAAGGAUUUUCUUAGUAGCGGCGAGCGAAAAGAAAACAGUUCAGCACUAAGUCACUUUGUCUAUAUGGCAAAUGUGAGAUGCAGUGUAUGGAGCGUCAAUAUUCUAGUAUGAGAAAUUAACGAUUUAAGUCCUUCUUAAAUGAGGCCAUUUACCCAUAGAGGGUGCCAGGCCCGUAUAACGUUAAUGAUUACUAGAUGAUGUUUCCAAAGAGUCGUGUUGCUUGAUAGUGCAGCACUAAGUGGGUGGUAAACUCCAUCUAAAACUAAAUAUAACCAUGAGACCGAUAGUAAACAAGUACCGUGAGGGAAAGUUGAAAAGAACUCUGAAUAGAGAGUUAAACAGUACGUGAAACUGCUUAGAGGUUAAGCCCGAUGAACCUGAAUAUCCGUUAUGGAAAAUUCAUCAUUAAAAUUGUAAUAUUUAAAUAAUAUUAUGAGAAUAGUGUGCAUUUUUUCCAUAUAAGGACAUUGUAAUCUAUUAGCAUAUACCAAAUUUAUCAUAAAAUAUAACUUAUAGUUUAUUCCAAUUAAAUUGCUUGCAUUUUAACACAGAAUAAAUGUUAUUAAUUUGAUAAAGUGCUGAUAGAUUUAUAUGAUUACAGUGCGUUAAUUUUUCGGAAUUAUAUAAUGGCAUAAUUAUCAUUGAUUUUUGUGUUUAUUAUAUGCACUUGUAUGAUUAACAAUGCGAAAGAUUCAGGAUACCUUCGGGACCCGUCUUGAAACACGGACCAAGGAGUCUAACAUAUGUGCAAGUUAUUGGGAUAUAAACCUAAUAGCGUAAUUAACUUGACUAAUAAUGGGAUUAGUUUUUUAGCUAUUUAUAGCUAAUUAACACAAUCCCGGGGCGUUCUAUAUAGUUAUGUAUAAUGUAUAUUUAUAUUAUUUAUGCCUCUAACUGGAACGUACCUUGAGCAUAUAUGCUGUGACCCGAAAGAUGGUGAACUAUACUUGAUCAGGUUGAAGUCAGGGGAAACCCUGAUGGAAGACCGAAACAGUUCUGACGUGCAAAUCGAUUGUCAGAAUUGAGUAUAGGGGCGAAAGACCAAUCGAACCAUCUAGUAGCUGGUUCCUUCCGAAGUUUCCCUCAGGAUAGCUGGUGCAUUUUAAUAUUAUAUAAAAUAAUCUUAUCUGGUAAAGCGAAUGAUUAGAGGCCUUAGGGUCGAAACGAUCUUAACCUAUUCUCAAACUUUAAAUGGGUAAGAACCUUAACUUUCUUGAUAUGAAGUUCAAGGUUAUGAUAUAAUGUGCCCAGUGGGCCACUUUUGGUAAGCAGAACUGGCGCUGUGGGAUGAACCAAACGUAAUGUUACGGUGCCCAAAUUAACAACUCAUGCAGAUACCAUGAAAGGCGUUGGUUGCUUAAAACAGCAGGACGGUGAUCAUGGAAGUCGAAAUCCGCUAAGGAGUGUGUAACAACUCACCUGCCGAAGCAACUAGCCCUUAAAAUGGAUGGCGCUUAAGUUGUAUACCUAUACAUUACCGCUAAAGUAGAUGAUUUAUAUUACUUGUGAUAUAAAUUUUGAAACUUUAGUGAGUAGGAAGGUACAAUGGUAUGCGUAGAAGUGUUUGGCGUAAGCCUGCAUGGAGCUGCCAUUGGUACAGAUCUUGGUGGUAGUAGCAAAUAAUCGAAUGAGACCUUGGAGGACUGAAGUGGAGAAGGGUUUCGUGUGAACAGUGGUUGAUCACGAGUUAGUCGGUCCUAAGUUCAAGGCGAAAGCCGAAAAUUUUCAAGUAAAACAAAAAUGCCUAACUAUAUAAACAAAGCGAAUUAUAAUACACUUGAAUAAUUUUGAACGAAAGGGAAUACGGUUCCAAUUCCGUAACCUGUUGAGUAUCCGUUUGUUAUUAAAUAUGGGCCUCGUGCUCAUCCUGGCAACAGGAACGACCAUAAAGAAGCCGUCGAGAGAUAUCGGAAGAGUUUUCUUUUCUGUUUUAUAGCCGUACUACCAUGGAAGUCUUUCGCAGAGAGAUAUGGUAGAUGGGCU